CGGCCGCGUCGACUACACAUGCAAGUCGAACGGCAGCACGGGGAGCUUGCUCCCGGGUGGCGAGUGGCGCACGGGUGAGUAAUACAUCGGAACGUGUCCUCUUGUGGGGGAUAACAACCCGAAAGGGUUGCUAAUACCGCAUGAGACCUGAGGGUGAAAGCGGGGAUCGCAAGACCUCGCGCAAGGGGAGCGGCCGAUGCCCGAUUAGCUGGUUGGUGAGGUAAAGGCUCACCAAGGCGACGAUCGGUAGCUGGUCUGAGAGGACGACCAGCCACACUGGGACUGAGACACGGCCCAGACUCCUACGGGAGGCAGCAGUGGGGAAUUUUGGACAAUGGGGGAAACCCUGAUCCAGCCAUGCCGCGUGCAGGAUGAAGGUCUUCGGAUUGUAAAGCACUUUAAGUUGGGAGAAGGGCAGUAAGUUAAUACCUUGCUGUUUUGACGUUACCGACAGAAUAAGCACCGGCUAACUUCGUGCCAGCAGCCGCGGUAAUCGAAGGGUGCAAGCGUUAAUCGGAAUUA
rnacentral:rRNA from 1 species